CAUUUUCACUUCCCCACGUCGCGGCUGCGGGGAGCAACAAGCGGCAGCGCGUGUGAGCGUGGGGAUCGCGCCGAAGGGCGCGCGCUUUUCACCGGGGCCACGCUGGGACUGUGGGGCACCAGAAGUGGUGGACGGGGCGCUGGCUUGGGAGCUGGCCACCAGCUGGUGGUGGCCGUAGGGAAGGAAGGAGAUGACCUGACUCUACAUCCUACCUGAAGGGUGGAGAUGGACCAGAGAGAGCCCCGGAAGCCUGGGGACCCUUCCCGACCUGUGGCUUAAGUGCUCAGAACCGCUGUGCACAGGCUGCAUAUACAAACUCAUCUUGGAAAGUCGCCCGCUGCAAAGGAAUGUAAGGAACGAAGUCAGCUGAAAAGACGGCAUUACUUGUGCCCCUACUUUAUUGGAUCUCCUACUGGGGAACGGGGGGGGGGGGGGGGUUUGAGGGGGGUUGAAGGGCCAGCCUGGCACUCAGUGUGGAAGCUAGGAUGGUUAGGAAGGCCUUCCCCUAGAAAGUCACUCUCCAAAGUUACUUCAUGUCUUUGCCAUAACCGGUCCAGUUCCUGCAAAAUGCAAGGGUUUGAGUUACAUGAACUUAAACUGUCUUGAUUGGGACUGAACCUGGAGGGAACGCUGCCUGUUAACUCCUAAAUUUGGCUGUCCUUAUUGGUUGAACAUCCUUGGCUGCUGUCCUCUGUGCUGUUCCGUGGAGACAAUACUGAAUGCAAGAAGAGGGCCCAGUACCUAUGACAGGUGCAGCGGCCUAUGGGCUCUACUAGGCCAGCUCGCUUGGAACCUCUUGCUGUUUGGUCACUUAACUUUAAAAGUAUUCCCUUACAUUUAGUUACACCUGCUUCUUGCCUGGCUUACAGUUUCCUCAGCCCACCACCUGCCUUCUCUAACCACUGGGGAAAGCAUCCCACCCUAGGAGACUGUCACUAUCUAUGUGUAAACAUCUGAAAAAUAAUUCUACCUCCUCUUUGCCAUAGAAUUAGUGGAUUCCACAGACAGGGAUAAAGGAAAGUAUGCAUGCCCUUGUAGAAGGAGAGCAGUGAGAUUAAGGACCCUGUCUUGUGGCCUCAAAAUAGAUCCUUCCUGCACAGUGUCCUUUAUUUCUCCCAUAAUAACACUGCACACUCCUUGCAUUUAUAUUUCAUAUAUCAGUAACCACAGGGAUAUACACACUGCAUGGUAGUUGUAUGUCUUUACCCACCAGGCACCUAAGUUAAAAGCCUAAUAACCACAGGUCAUUAUUUUCUGGCUUUGUGUGUGUAUGGGUGAGUGUGGUACAUGUGUGCAUGUGUGCAUGUGUACUCACGGAGGCCAGAGUGUCCUGCUCAGCCCUUCUCCACGGUGUUGAUUGGAGACAGGGUUUCUCACUGAACCUAGAACUAGGCUGGUAGCCAGCCACUCCAGCAAUCUUCAUGUCUCUGCCAGCCACAGCACUGGAAUGAGGUGGGCACAGAGCCAGACCUGGCUUUUCAAGAGUCUUGGGGAUUUGAACUCAACUCCCCAUUGCUUGCUCAGCAAGCCCCCUUCCCCCAUCUCUGCGGCCCCUUUUGUUGUUGUUUUCUUUGCUGUUGCUGUUUUUUAUUUUUGCUUGUUUGUUUGUGUGUCUGGGUUUUUUGUUUGUUUGUUUGUUUUGUUUUUUGUUUUUUUUCUAGACAGGAUCAUCUUAGGAAGUCUAGGUGAACCAGAAUUGUUUUCCAAGCUGUCCGGGAACUAACAACGUUCCUGCCUUGGCUCUUGAAUCCUGGAAUUAUGGGCCUGUGCUAUCUCUGUUUAUUUUAAUCGGUGUGCAACCCAUUGUCUUCUCUUCCCUAGAACAGGGAGAGGAAAGGCCUACAUAAAUAGCCCCUCCGGUCCCCAUCCACACGCCUUCUUUCUGAGCUUCUUAUCUCGGUUCAGCAUCCUUCAUGUGCAGGCCGAAGGAACGACAGAAACAAUGAGGUCUGGUGGGGCCAACCGAUGUCUCUUCCCUGCUAUCUAUGAUAGGAGCUUCCUCAGAGAUGAAAACUCAGGGGAGCCAGAGAGGACCAUGUCCACAAAUCUCUAAGAGGCAUCCUAAGGCCCUGUAUCCGUGAACAGAGGCUAGUCCUGGAAACCCCAUUGCCAGGCACAGGGAGCAUCCUGUCUCCGUGCUUUCCUGACGAUUGGCUUCCCAUUUGUGUCUUCACUAGAUUCUCCAUCAGGAAACAGUCCUGCCCGCUCUAAGUGCACCCCAAUCUCACUGUUUCAGAAAGAGCAAUGCCCUACUUAUGUGUGGUCUUUAACCACACAUAAAAAAGUUUUCUUGGACUGUUAAUUUUUUUUUUCAGUUCUUGAUUCCUUCUUUCCCACACGGUCUAGCAAUCCAUCCAUCCAGUCCUAUCAGUACACAUCCAGUCACAAUCAAUCACAGCCUAGUUACAGGUCCAUGCAACCCCCCAGGGUCUCCAGAUGAGAUGGAUCAUGGCAGUCCCUGAGCACCAUGCCCAGUCACCUCCCUUGGGU
rnacentral:lncRNA from 1 species